AUGGAUGUAGACGGACGCGGAGAUGAAUUGGCGGCGUCGCCUCGCCCCGCUUGCGGCAAGAAGCGGCCGCUUUCCCCCUCAACUCCUCAGAACGACGUUGCGGACUCGUCCAAGUCCACCACCAGCGACGAGGACGACAACCCCUGGGCGCUCAGCGACGACGAAGAGGAGGAUGGAUACCACGGGAAGUACCGCCCUUUUACAGUUGACGAUUUCCCAAGGGUUAGCAGUGAUGAUGAUGAGCAGACAGUUGCCGUGUAUAAGAAUCCAGAGAUUUCUACCCGAGGCCCAAGACCGCUUAGGAGAUUUCCAGCAUUUAAGCCAGAAAGUCGACAUUCAUGUGAUAUGGAGUAUCAACUUGCCGAUGAAUCUGAAAUCAGUUUCAGCAAUGUUGGGACCGUUGAUUGCUCACAUAAGGGUUAUUGCAGAUCGAUGGACAUGGUGCAGUUCAUUGAUCUCAAAAUCGCUGGCUAUCAGCAUGCCCGGCCUGGAUGUGCCAAAAUAUUUGGGUUUUUCGCAGCGCGGGAUCGGGUCGAACCUUUGCGCAAUUAUGUCUAUAGGCGUGAAAUUGAGAAUUAUGAAGCUGUAACUGUGAAGCCAAAGACGACCCACAGGAAGAUGGGCCCAAAGGCGACCUUCUUAUUGAAGGAUGUACUGAAUUCAGCACCAUGUACACAACAGAAUCAUCCAUUCAAAAUCGGCGCCUUUAUGGGGACAAGUGUUCACUGGAUGUCAAGUUUACGGCGCUGA
rnacentral:rRNA from 1 species